rnacentral:rRNA from 1 species
GCAGUGGGUACGGGCAGGCUAGAGUGUGGUAGGGGGAGACUGGAAUUUCCUGGUGUAGCGGUGGAAUGCGCAGAUAUCAGGAGGAACACCGAUGGCGAAGGCAGGUCUCUGGGCCAUUACUGACGCUGAGAAGCGAAAGCGUGGGGAGCGAACAGGAUUAGAUACCCUGGUAGUCCACGCCGUAAACGUUGGGCGCUAGGUGUGGGUCCCAUUCCACGGGGUCCGUGCCGCAGCUAACGCAUUAAGCGCCCCGCCUGGGGAGUACGGCCGCAAGGCUAAAACUCAAAGGAAUUGACGGGGGCCCGCACAAGCGGCGGAGCAUGCGGAUUAAUUCGAUGCAACGCGAAGAACCUUACCAAGGCUUGACAUACACCGGACGACUGCAGAGAUGUGGUUUCCCUUUGGGCUGGUGUACAGGUGGUGCAUGGUUGUCGUCAGCUCGUGUCGUGAGAUGUUGGGUUAAGUCCCGCAACGAGCGCAACCCUCGUUCCAUGUUGCCAGCAGCACCUUCGGGUGGCUGGGGACUCAUGGGAGACUGCCGGGGUCAACUCGGAGGAAGGUGGGGAUGACGUCAAAUCAUCAUGCCCCUUACGUCUUGGGCUUCACGCAUGCUACAAUGGCCGGUACAAAGGGCUGCGAUCCCGUGAGGGGGAGCGAAUCCCAGAAAGCCGGUCUCAGUUCGGAUUGGGGUCUGCAACUCGACCCCAUGAAGUCGGAGUCGCUAGUAAUCGCAGAUCAGCAACGCUGCGGUGAAUACGUUCCCGGGCCCUGUACACACCGCCCGUCAAGUCACGAAAGUCGGUAACACCCGAAGCCGGUGGCCCAACCCUUGUGGAGGGAGCUGUCGAAGGUGGGACUGGUGAUUGGGACUAAGUCGUAACAAGGUACCAAUCCCGCGG